rnacentral:rRNA from 1 species
AUUGAACGCUGGCGGCAGGCCUAACACAUGCAAGUCGAGCGGAUGAAGGUAGCUUGCUACCUGAUUCAGCGGCGGACGGGUGAGUGAUGCCUAGGAAUCUGCCUGGUAGUGGGGGACAACGUUUCGAAAGGAACGCUAAUACCGCAUACGUCCUACGGGAGAAAGUGGGGGAUCUUCGGACCUCACGCUAUCAGAUGAGCCUAGGUACGAUUAGCUAGUUGGUGAGGUAAAGGCUCACCAAGGCGACGAUCGUUAACUGGUCUGAGAGGAUGAUCAGUCACACUGGAACUGAGACACGGUCCAGACUCCUACGGGAGGCAGCAGUGGGGAAUAUUGGACAAUGGGCGAAAGCCUGAUCCAGCCAUGCCGCGUGUGUGAAGAAGGUCUUCGGAUUGUAAAGCACUUUAAGUUGGGAGGAAGGGCAGUAAGUUAAUACCUUGCUGUUUUGACGUUACCGACAGAAUAAGCACCGGCUAACUUCGUGCCAGCCGCCACAGUAAAAC